rnacentral:lncRNA from 1 species
CAGCAAGAUAGCAGAAGCAGGAAGAGAGCUGGCCGGAACAUAUGUACCCUGUGAAGACCGAGAGAGAGGCCGUCCAGGUACCGCGUAGCAGUUACAUCAGACUGAGACACUUCCUGUUUACAGGAGACUAUAAAACCCCUGCCCCAUCCUCAUUUGGUGCUGAUGCCAUUUUAAGCCUCAGCACACCUGCACCCAGGCGCUCAUUAAAACAGCAUGCUGCUCCCCACUGCCUCGUGUUGUCUGUUGGCGCGCUGUCGGGGUUCGAACCGGUACAAGAACCUUUCACCUACCUGGUGCUUUGGCCUCAUCUGUAAGCUUUUCCACUGUCCUGAAACAAGAUAGAGAAUCUGAGCGGCCAGUCAUCUGCCCUAAGUGCUGCCGCCGAAGACUGAAUGUCCUGGAAAGUUUGCUGUCACAUCUCCAUUAUGACAAAAGCAUUGUGCCGAACAGAUGAAAAAAUGCAUUGUCAACGGAAUCUUUUAUGUUUGUUUGUUUUCCUUUAAGCAACUUUGCC